AUACUUAACCUGCGGGAGCUACACGUGAUCAAGAAGGCGUUCACCCAGGCGAGGCUCAGCCAUUGCACUCUGCCUGUGCUGACCCCUGCGGAAUUCCAAAAUGUGGAAAUUCUCGAUUGCAUAAUUAUGUAGUGGGUGGAUUGCGAUUCGCGCUCUCCUC